rnacentral:rRNA from 1 species
AACGAACGCUGGCGGCAUGCCUAACACAUGCAAGUCGAACGAAGUCUUCGGACUUAGUGGCGCACGGGUGCGUAACGCGUGGGAAUCUGCCCUUGGGUGCGGAAUAACUUCUCGAAAGGGAUGCUAAUACCGCAUAAUGUCGUAAGACCAAAGAUUUAUCGCCCAAGGAUGAGCCCGCGUAAGAUUAGCUAGUUGGUGGGGUAAAAGCCUACCAAGGCGACGAUCUUUAGCUGGUCUGAGAGGAUGAUCAGCCACACUGGGACUGAGACACGGCCCAGACUCCUACGGAGGCAACAGUGGGGGAUAUUGGACAAUGGCGAAGCCUGAUCCAGCAAU